CGCCUGCCGUUCUUUUCCGGGCCGAUAGAUGGCACUGUUGCACUUCCGCUCAGAGGAAACGCCUUCUGCAUUCUUAACGCGUCCACGUGUUCACUCAUUGUGAAUAUGAGAAUAGUCCGUUUUAGAAAAGCUUGCUGAGGCCCCCUAAUGGGGCCCCGGGCCCUGGCCUCCUGUUUGAGAUCCUUUGAUCUAAAGCUCGGAUUCAAAUGGAAUAUGUAAAGGGAGUCAGAACAUCAAAAGAUGGAUUUUCGUGCACGCUUUCGCACAUAU